rnacentral:lncRNA from 10 species
GGGGUUUUAUGCCCUGAGCCCUGGAUUCCAUCCAAGCCACAAGGGGUUUAAUGCUCUGGGCUUAAAUUGUAGUGCGGCAGGGCAGCCUUCCACCCUUAAGCACAGAGCUUGGUGUUCCAUAGGCCACGAGGGGUUUUAGACCCUGGACCCAGGACAUGUUCCAGGACUUUUUAUAUUAUGUCAAGACUAGCAAGUCCUGCCUCAGCUCUUCUACCAACACAGCUCCUUUGGGUAAAUACCAAGGAGCAUGAUUGCUAGAUCAUAUGGUAAGAGUAUAUUUAGCUGUGUAGGAAACACCCAAACUGUCUUCCGAAUGGGCUGUACCAUUUUGCAUUUCUCCAGCAGUGUCUGAGAGUUUCUGCUGCUCACAUCCUUGUCAGCAUUUGGUGUUGUCAGUGUUCUGGAUUUUGGCCAUGCUAAUAGAUCUUAAGUGUGCAAUGCAAUGAGGAUGGAGCAACGUAUACACCAAUCAAGAGAAAGAACAUGUCCAUUACCCCAAAAAGUUCUCUUACACCCGCUUCCAGGUGAUGCCCCUGGCAACCAUGAGUUUGGCUUGUAGCAUCAAGACUUUACCUGUUCUUGAAUUUCAAUAUAUGGAACCAGGCAGGAGCAUAAUUCAGCUUCUUUGAUUCACAGUUCUUGAGAUUCAUUCAUGCUGUUGUUUGUAUCAGUAGUCCGUAUAUUUUUUAAAUUAGUGAAUCAUAUUCCAUUAUGUAAACGUACCACAACUUCUCACAUUAUUCUGUUGAUGGACACACGACCUUUUCCAGUUUGGGUUGUUAUGGGAAAAGCAACUGUAAACAUUCUUAAGACUUUUUGUGGGCACUAUUGUUUGUUUUUGGUAAAUACCUACUAACAGCGGAAUUGCUGGAUCUUAGGGUUGGUGUAAGUUUACAUUUCUCAGAAACUGCUGAACUGCUUUCCAAAGUAACAUUUUGCACGUAUGAGAGUCUUAAUUCCUCCACAACCACUCCAACAUUGGGUGGUAUUGAUCCAUUUGAUGUUAGCCAUUGGAGUAGUAUGAAAUGCUUUUUGUGAAUGUAAUUUUGGUUUAGCUCAUGAACAAUGGUAUUGACCAUACUUUCAUGUGUUUAGUGGCCACUGGUAUAUUUUCUUUUUGAAACAUAUGUCUAAGUAUUUUGCCUAUUUAAUUUUGAAUUUUUUUCUUUUUACUGAGCUGUAAGAAUUACAUAAAUUCUGGAUCUAUGAUAAUCCUCAAGUAUACAUAUUCCAAAUAUUUUCUUUUACAAUGUGGUUUACAUUAUCAUUUGUUUAAUCAUAUAUUAUGAACAGAAUUUUUAAAAAAUCACAUCCAAUUAAUCAAAUUUUUCCUUUUAUGUUGAGUCCAUUUUGUGGACUAAAUAUCAUUGCUAUACCAAAGUCCUGAGGUUAUGCUCUAAUAUUUUCCUCUAGCAGCUCUCUAAUGUUAACUUUUAUAUUUAAGGCAGUGAUCCAUCUUAAAUUGAUGUUUUGGUGAUUUGUUAUGUAUUCUUGACAAAAUGAGCCUUUUAAUAUGUUUUUUAAGUCUUUCAUAAUCUCUGGUAAUAUUUCCAAUCUUGAAUUCAAUUUCAUCUGAUAUUAAUCUAAUUCUACCAGCUUCCUCAUUCUUACUUUUGUAUGCUAUAUCUUUCCUCCAUCUUUACACAGUUCUUUAUCUGAGACUUUAUAUUAUGUAGCUGAACCUGAUUUUUUUAUCUCAUCUUCCAGUCUCUGCUUUUUAACUGGAGUAUUCGGUCUAUUUAUAUUUAAGACAAUUACUGAUAUGAUUGGUCGUAGUUCUUCCGCCUUGCAAUGCAUUUUCAUUUUGUCUCGUGUGUCUUUUAUUCCUUUGUUUCUCACUUCCUAUAUUAUUUUGGGUCAGAUUAUUGCUAUUAGAAUUCCAAUUCAAUACUUUGAUUGAAUUUUGUUUCAAUAUUUAGUUAAACUGAAAUCUGUACUUGUACUGAAUUAAAAGUAGGACAGUAGAAAUAGUCCAAACCAAACGAGAAAAAUAUUUUAAAUUGUACUUUUUUAGUUAUACAUUAUAUUUCUUCUUAGUGGUUAUUUUAGGAAUUAAAAUAUGCAUUCUUAAUUUAUCACUGUCUGUUUAAAACCAUAAAUAUUACUUCACAUACAUUAUAGAAGCUGUCAGUGCAUAAAUUAACCUAUCUACCUGUGUUUUGCUAGUGUCAUAAUUUUUAUAAAGUAUUUGCUAUAAACUUCACAUUACAAUUAAAUCAUUUUUGCAUUAAAUAUCUAGUUUUAGAUAAAAUAAUAGAGGAAAAAAUACCAUCUUUUACAUCUGCCCACAUGUUUCUUAUUUUAUUUUUAUAUUUUUGAGGAAGUCUUUCUCUGUGGUCCACGCUGGAGUGCAGUGGUGCAAUCUCAGCUCAUUGCAACCUUCGCCUCCCAGGUUCAAGAGAUUCUCGUGCCCCAGCCCCUCGAGUAGCUGGGAUUACAAGUGUGUGCCACCACACACGGCUAAAUUUUGUAUUUUUAGUAGAGAUGGGGUUUUGUGAUGUUGGCCAGCCUGGUCUCAAACUCCUGGCCUCAAGUGAUCCUCCCCCAGUGACCUCCCAAAGUUCUGGGAUUACAGGCUUGAGCCACCCUGCCAGUUGCAUCUACCUACGUAUUUCUGUUCUUUCCUGUAGAUGUACAUUUCCAUCUGAUAUCAUUUUCCUUCAUGCUGAAAAUGUUUUAUGGCACAGGUCUACUGGUAAUUAAUCUUUUUCAGAUUUUAUUUAUCUUAAAAGUCUUCAUUUCAAAUUCAUGUUCUGCUUGAUAUAGACUUCUCAGUUAAUGAGUCUGAGUCUGUGUGCAUGUGUGUAUAUGAGUGUGGAAUGCUGAUUUCCAGAGUUGUGCAUUAUUUUCUGAUCAGGGUUGUUCUGAUAUAUCCAUUCUGCUUUCAUAGAAAUCAUAACUCUUAGAGCACUAUUUAAAAAUAUUAAUAAUUCAAGAUAGCAUAAAUCAACCUUUAUUAUUAUUUUUCAAAUUCAUAUACUAGGCAGGAAGUAAAAAGAGAAUUAAAUGUACAUUUGAAACAAAAGUAUAUUUGUAAAAAAUCUUACAUUUACUAAAUUAUAAUGCCAAUAUAGAUGGCCAUUAAAUUAAUCCUUACACUGGAAUUGGUAUCCAGUUAACAAUAAUUCUCAUUAUUAUUUAUAUUGGCCUAAAUUCAUUUUAUCUUUGCAAAAUAAAAUUAUGGAAUUCUAAAACCAAUCAUUAGUUGACAGGGAAGGUUGUCAACAGAAAACUACAAUUCAUAAAUACAAACAUAUUUUAUUAUUAAGUAUCAUAAUAUAUCAUUUAUUUGGUUUUAGUUGAAUAAAACAAGUUACCCCAGGUUUCUUUGCAUGUAUGAAAGAAAAUAAAAAAUGUUAUGACAAUACAAAAUAU